rnacentral:rRNA from 1 species
GAUGAACGCUGGCGGCGUGCCUAAUACAUGCAAGUCGAGCGAACAGACGAGGAGCUUGCUCCUCUGACGUUAGCGGCGGACGGGUGAGUAACACGUGGAUAACCUCCCUAUAAGACUGGGAUCACUUCGGGAAACCGGAGCUAAUACCGGAUAAUAUAUUGCACCGCAUGGUUCAAUAGUGAAAGACGGUUUUGCUGUCACUUAUAGAUGGAUCCGCGCCGCAUUGGCUAGUGGGUAAGGUAACGGCUUACCACGGCGACGAGUCGGAGCCGACCUGAGAGGGUGAUCGGCCACACUGGAACUGGGACACGGUCCAGACUCCUACGGGAGGCAGCAGUAGGGAAUCUUCCGCAAUGGGCGAAAGCCUGACGGAGCAGCGCCGCGUGAGUGAUGAAGGUCUUCGGAUCGUAAAACUCUGUUAUGAGGGAAGAACAAAUGUGUAAGUAACUAUGCACGUCUUGACGGUACCUAAUCAGAAAGCCACGGCUAACUACGUG